ACCCGGCUGGCUCAGUCGGUGGAGCAUGGGACUCUGGAUCUUGGGGCUGUGUGUUCAAGCCCCAUGUUAGGUG
rnacentral:tRNA from 1 species